GUAAUUAGCAUAGGUGGACUUGAAAGUACUUGUGAUGGGAAUUCCUUAUUUCAUUUUUAAAACGUUUUUACCGCGCCCCCAGUACAAGCGAGACUGGAUGCAGAGGUGCUAGACGCUUAGAAUACAGACCUGGAGAAUAGGAUCUCUGCCCAACUGGAAGGCGGAGUAAGAGGAAAGAUUAAGAAAUUACUGAAAGCGUGGUACUUACCCGGUACCAGGACCAAGGAAGGCGUUCCCUGGGCGAGCUGAGUUAAGAAAUUUAAAGAAUCCGACCUGCCAGAAGUGAGGGAGAAAACAGUUCCCCAAUCCCAUGGAAUAGUGCAGGGUCUAGGGACCCGGGAAGAGAAGUGGCCAGAGGUGCUGGGGUCAAGGCUGAGGAGGGGCCAGCUCACGGGACCGGACAAGCCACGUGCAGGAACCAAUUGGAGAAAGAUCGGCUGGGAGCAGCCAGGGCAGCUGGCGUGCAGGAAGCCGUCUACAUUUGCUUGCUGACCUAAAUAAUACCCAGGAGAAGAGUCCAAGCCCAGAAGCCCUUCAAUGUCUUAGGGCUGCACAGCUGACUGGCAGCUUCAGGCCCGUGCCGCAUCCUGUUUUGAAGAAGAGAGGCUGGAAGAAAUGUGAAAUGGAAGCAGGCUCAUCUGGGGAAUCAAAUCUAAUUUCUCAAAUCCGGGAAAACCAGGAUCGAAAUCAAUUUCAUCAACAUCCGUGGUUAGUUUGCAGCCGCUAGUGGCUCCUGACCGGUGUUUGCAUUCAUGACACAGCCACAAUCUGCAGAAUUGGUCUCUAAUCAAUAGCUCACAGUCGUUCUAGAAGACCGUCUCCCGCUCAAGCUUACAAGUAAAGGCUGUGUACUGCUGAGUGUGCUUUCCCUGUCAGUGGACAUCACAGAUAAAGGCUUUCUCUCUUUGUUUUGGUUCGUUUUGCUGUGUUGUGUUUUGAGACGGGAUCUCAUUUAGCCCAGGAUACCCUUCAGUUCACUAAAUAGCCGAGGAUAGUCUCGAACUUGUGGUCUUCCCGUGUUUUGCGGUUACAGACCAGUGCCACCACACUCAGCUGACUAUUCAGGUUUGAAACGAGAAAAAAGACCAACCAGUCGCUGGUGGCUGAAGCCUGUAAUCCCAGAAUUCUGGAAGCAGAGGAGGGGAGAUCGGGAGUACUAGGAUAGACUGGGUUACAAAGUGAGUCUCAGGGCAGUUCAAGCUAUCUAGCAAGACCUACUGGGGUUGUGGAAGGAGAAGGCACAAAGGAAUUUCGGGUCUUAGAGACAGCCAUCCCGCCGCAGCUUGGAGCUGAGCUGAGCCAAGUGCCUUUCUAGGAUGUUGAAAUCCACUGGAAUUUCAAAAGACAAAAGAAGCAGGGCUUCAAGCACAGAGCCACGUCACCCCCUAACGUUUGCUGACAAAACAAGGAAACAGUACACCCUGUUUAAGGGCUCCUGGUGGUCCUAGUAUCUCUGAUGGCCCUGGUAGCCCUGGAAGUCUUGGUGGCCCCACACAAUAUAAGCAGGAAUGAUACCUCUUGCCUGUAAUCCCAGCACUCUGGAAGUGGAGAGUAGAAGCUUAAAAAAAAAACACACAAACAAACAAAAAAGCCAAGUCAGGAGCUGGAGAGGUGGCUCAGCGGUUAAGAGCACCGACUGCUCUUCCAGAGGUCCUGAGUUCAAAUCCCAGCA
ensembl:lncRNA